CGUAGAUAAGCAGUGCAAGAAUAGCCUCGAGCGUGUCCUGACAAGUAGUUUUGAGAUUGGCUUGCUCAAGUAGGUACUUUGAAGUGAACCCCCGGAUGUGAGACUUGGUGACAAGAUUCUUAGAGACAUCGGAAGUCUUGAGAUAGAGGUCCUUAGCAAUGAUCAGAGGAGUAAGAGAAGUCCCGGGACCAAUGAAAGGUGUCUUCUCAGCCAUAGGCAAAUCUAGCAAGUGGGAGUAAGC
rnacentral:lncRNA from 1 species